GAUGAACGCUGGCGGCGUGCCUAAUACAUGCAAGUCGAGCGAACGGACGAGAAGCUUGCUUCUCUGAUGUUAGCGGCAGACGGGUGAGUAACACGUGGAUAACCUACCUAUAAGACUAGGAUAACUUCGGGAAACCGGAGCUAAUACCGGAUGAUAUUUUGAACCGCAUGGUUCAAAAGUGAAAGACGGUCUUGCUGUCACUUAUAGAUGGAUCCGCGCUGCAUUAGCUAGUUGGUAAGGUAACGGCUUACCAAGGCAACGAUGCAUAGCCGACCUGAGAGGGUGAUCGGCCACACUGGAACUGAGACACGGUCCAGACUCCUACGGGAGGCAGCAGUAGGGAAUCUUCCGCAAUGGGCGAAAGCCUGACGGAGCAACGCCGCGUGAGUGAUGAAGGUCUUCGGAUCGUAAAACUCUGUUAUUAGGGAAGAACAUAUGUGUAAGUAACUGUGCACAUCUUGACGGUACCUAAUCAGAAAGCCACGGCUAACUACGUG
rnacentral:rRNA from 1 species